rnacentral:rRNA from 1 species
UACGUAGGGGGCAAGCGUUGUCCGGAUUUAUUGGGCGUAAAGAGCGUGUAGGCGGCCCGGUAAGUCCGCUGUAAAAGUCAAAGGCUCAACCUUUGAAUGUCAGUGGAUACUGCCGGGCUAGAGUCCGGAAGAGGCGAGUGGAACUCCUGGUGUAGCGGUGGAAUGCGCAGAUAUCAGGAAGAACACCAACGGCGAAGGCAGCUCGCUAGGACGGUACUGACGCUGAGACGCGAAAGCGUGGGGAGCGAACAGG